GAAAACAACCAGGGGAGCUAUUUUUAUCUAAAAAUGGCUGAGAAGUGACCCUUUGUACCUGAUCUAAGUAAUAUUAGCGUAGGGAGUUUGUUUGGUUAUCUU
rnacentral:ncRNA from 2 species